UCGAGAAUCAUUCGCAAUGGGCGCAAGCCUGACGAUGCGACGCCGUGUGAGCGAUGAAGGCCUUAGGGUUGUAAAGCUCUUUCGCCUGGGAACAAGAGAAGCGAAUUAAUACUUCGCCAAUUUGAGGGUACCAGGAAAAGAAGCACCGGCUAACUCCGUGCCAGCAGCUGCGGUAAUACGGAGGGUGCAAGCAUUAAUCGGAUUUAUUGGGCGUAAAGGGCGCGUAGGCGGAUCGGAAAGUCAGAUGUGAAAUCCUGGGGCUCAACCCCAGAACUGCAUUUGAAACUCCCAAUCUAGAGGGUAGGCGGAGAAAAUGGAAUUCCACAAGUAGCGGUGAAAUGCGUAGAUAUGUGGAAGAACACCGGUGGCGAAGGCGGUUUUCUAGCUUACUCCUGACGCUGAGGCGCGAAAGUAAGGGGAUCAAACAGGAUUAGAUACCCGCGUAGUCC
rnacentral:rRNA from 1 species